rnacentral:rRNA from 1 species
UACGUAGGCAGCGAGCGUUGUUCGGAGUUACUGGGCGUAAAGGGUGUGUAGGCGGUUUUCUAAGUUUGGUGUGAAAUCUCCCGGCUUAACCGGGAGGGUGCGCCGAAAACUGGGAGACUAGAGUGCGGGAUGGGAGAGUAGAAUUCCUGGUGUAGCGGUAAUAUGCGUAGAUAUCGGGAGGAACACCAGUGGCGAAGGCGGCUCUCUGGGGUAUUUCUGACGCUGAGGCACGAAAGCCAGGGGAGCGAACGGG